UAAUGUAAUGUGUUGUGUGUCUACAGAGAUCUGCUUUAGAGGAGGUGCUGGUUCUGGAGAGAUGUCAUGUUCUGGAGAGCACAGACAACAACAAUGGACUACUUAUUAGGUUUGACAGUGGAGAGCCAGGUGUGUAUGUAGAGUGUGUGAAUUCAGGUGAGGUUAACUCCUGGCUGGUGCUCUGAGAGAAAGCUAACUCUGAGGGGUUAACCAACCGGAUCAGACACCUCCGGACACAACUCAUGGAUACAGCCGGGAAUAGCGCUGUAAAUUUCCGUCGGAAAUGCAGAAACCACUGUAGCUGAUGCUGUGUGUCCUGCUAAACAGUCACCAUUGGAGUUCAGUAUUGACUGUAGGGGUCUGUCUAUAGGACACAAGGAGAAGAGACCCCACGUGGUGGUGCAGGUGUCAGUCAUCAACACACAGACACACACCAUCACUAACUACUGCUGUACGGAGAUAGUAGAGAGCACCAGUGACCCAGUGUUUCUGACCGGUGUGUGUAUCUCUCCUGACCACCCUUUCACCCUGGACACGACACUCAAACUGACCGUCUAUCACGCCAAGGUCAAAACACACGACACGGUGAGGAUGUGUCUUUACUCUGUGUGUUUGU